rnacentral:lncRNA from 1 species
GUACAUUUUGUCUGUUUGUCAGAUUUGAAGUACCUGUUUUGGUACAACCGAAGUUCCGGGAACCAGUUCUUUCUUAUAUGCCAUUAAAGGUAUGUUGAUUUUUUCAGUACAAGACACCAUAAAGUGUUGCUUUGACAUGCAAUGAUUGCCACUUUAUUUGAACUUAAAAUGAAAGAGGUGUGCCUGCUUGAAAUGGAGGAAUUUAACAUAGAAAGCUAUGG